GAUGAAGAACGCAGCAAAAUGCGAUAAGUAAUGUGAAUUGCAGAAUUCAGUGAAUCAUCGAAUCUUUGAACGCACCUUGCACCCUUUGGCAUUCCGAAGGGUAUGCUCGUUUGAGUGUCAUUGUACUCUCACACUUCUGAUCCUUUGGAUUGGGAGCGGUGGACUUGGGUGUUGCUGCUUUACUGUGGCUCACCUCAAAUGCAUUCGUGCAACUCUUGGUUGGACAUAGUACGGCGUGAUAAGUAUCUUCGCCGGCACCUCGCAAGAGGGUGGCUGAUCAGGAGCUCUGUGCUUUCCAACUGUCUUCAGACAACAACUGACAACUUGACCUCAAAUCGAGUAGGACCACCCGCUGAACUUAAGCAUAUCAAUAAGCGGAGGA
rnacentral:misc_RNA from 1 species